rnacentral:rRNA from 1 species
UGCAGUCGAGGGGCAGCAUGGUCUUAGCUUGCUAAGGCCGAUGGCGACCGGCGCACGGGUGAGUAACACGUAUCCAACCUGCCGUCUACUCUUGGACAGCCUUCUGAAAGGAAGAUUAAUACAAGAUGGCAUCAUGAGUCCGCAUGUUCACAUGAUUAAAGGUAUUCCGGUAGACGAUGGGGAUGCGUUCCAUUAGAUAGUAGGCGGGGUAACGGCCCACCUAGUCUUCGAUGGAUAGGGGUUCUGAGAGGAAGGUCCCCCACAUUGGAACUGAGACACGGUCCAAACUCAUACGGGAGGCAGCAGUGAGGAAUAUUGGUCAAUGGGCGAGAGCCUGAACCAGCCAAGUAGCGUGAAGGAUGACUGCCCUAUGGGUUGUAAACUUCUUUUAUAAAGGAAUAAAGUCGGGUAUGCAUACCCGUUUGCAUGUACUUUAUGAAUAAGGAUCGGCUAACUCCGUGCCAGCAGCCGCGGUAAUACGGAGGAUCCGAGCGUUAUCCGGAUUUAUUGGGUUUAAAGGGAGCGUAGAUGGAUGUUUAAGUCAGUUGUGAAAGUUUGCGGCUCAACCGUAAAAUUGCAGUUGAUACUGGAUAUCUUGAGUGCAGUUGAGGCAGGCGGAAUUCGUGGUGUAGCGGUGAAAUGCUUAGAUAUCACGAAGAACUCCGAUUGCGAAGGCAGCCUGCUAAGCUGCAACUGACAUUGAGGCUCGAAAGUGUGGGUAUCAAACAGGAUUAGAUACCCUGGUAGUCCACACGGUAAACGAUGAAUACUCGCUGUUUGCGAUAUACUGCAAGCGGCCAAGCGAAAGCGUUAAGUAUUCCACCUGGGGAGUACGCCG